UACAGAGGUCUCAAGCGUUGUUCGGAUUCAUUGGGCGUAAAGGGUGCGUAGGCGGUUUGGCAAGUCGGGUGUGAAAUUUCGAGGCUCAACCUCGAAACGCCACUCGAUACUGCCAUGACUGGAGUCCGGUAGAGGAGUGCGGAAUUCCUGGUGUAGCGGUGAAAUGCGCAGAUAUCAGGAGGAACACCAACGGCGAAGGCAGCACUCUGGGCCGGUACUGACGCUGAGGAGCGAAAGCGUGGGGAGCAAACAGG
rnacentral:rRNA from 1 species